rnacentral:rRNA from 1 species
UACGUAGGUCCCGAGCGUUGUCCGGAUUUAUUGGGCGUAAAGCGAGCGCAGGUGGUUUAUUAAGUCUGGUGUAAAAGGCAGUGGCUCAACCAUUGUAUGCAUUGGAAACUGGUAGACUUGAGUGCAGGAGAGAAGAGUGGAAUUCCAUGUGUAGCGGUGAAAUGCGUAGAUAUAUGGAGGAACACCGGUGGCGAAAGCGGCUCUCUGGCCUGUAACUGACACUGAGGCUCGAAAGCGUGGGGAGCAAACAGG